GGAUUGUGGCUCAGUGGUAGAGCACUCUCCUUGCACAGGCGGGGCCCGGGUUCGAUCCUCAGCACCA
rnacentral:tRNA from 1 species